rnacentral:rRNA from 1 species
GUGGGGAAUAUUGGACAAUGGGCGAAAGCCUGAUCCAGCCAUGCCGCGUGUGUGAAGAAGGUCUUCGGAUUGUAAAGCACUUUAAGUUGGGAGGAAGGGCAGUAAGUUAAUACCUUGCUGUUUUGACGUUACCGACAGAAUAAGCACCGGCUAACUUCGUGCCAGCAGCCGCGGUAAUACGAAGGGUGCAAGCGUUAAUCGGAAUUACUGGGCGUAAAGCGCGCGUAGGUGGUUUUGUAAGUUGGAGGUGAAAUCCCCGGGCUCAACCUGGGAACUGCCUCCAAAACUACUGAGCUAGAGUACGGUAGAGGGUAGUGGAAUUUCCUGUGUAGCGGUGAAAUGCGUAGAUAUAGGAAGGAACACCAGUGGCGAAGGCGACUACCUGGACUGAUACUGACACUGAGGUGCGAAAGCGUGGGGAGCAAACAGGAUUAGAAACACGGGUAGUCC